UACGGAGGGUGCAAGCGUUAUCCGGAUUCACUGGGUUUAAAGGGUGCGUAGGAGGGCAGGUAAGUCAGUGGUGAAAUCCCCAAGCUUAACUUGGGAACUGCCAUUGAUACUAUCUGUCUUGAAUACCGUGGAGAUGAGCGGAAUAUGUCAUGUAGCGGUGAAAUGCUUAGAUAUGACAUAGAACACCAAUUGCGAAGGCAGCUCAUUACACGAAUAUUGACUCUGAGGCACGAAAGCGUGGGGAUCAAACAGG
rnacentral:rRNA from 1 species